GCUCCGUUGGUGAACCAGCGGAGGGAUCAUUACCGAGUUUACAACUCCCAAACCCAAUGUGAACGUUACCAAACUGUUGCCUCGGCGGGAUCUCUGCCCCGGGUGCGUCGCAGCCCCGGACCAAGGCGCCCGCCGGAGGACCAACCUAAAACUCUUAUUGUAUACCCCCUCGCGGGUUUUUUUAUAAUCUGAGCCUUCUCGGCGCCUCUCGUAGGCGUUUCGAAAAUGAAUCAAAACUUUCAACAACGGAUCUCUUGGUUCUG
rnacentral:misc_RNA from 1 species